CAGUAGCCGCGGGAAUACGGAGGGGGCUAGCGUUGUUCGGAAUUACUGGGCGUAAAGCGCACGUAGGCGGCUUUUUAAGUCAGAGGUGAAAGCCCGGAGCUCAACUCCGGAACUGCCUUUGAGACUGGAAGGCUUGAACGUCGGAGAGGUGAGUGGAAUUCCGAGUGUAGAGGUGAAAUUCGUAGAUAUUCGGAAGAACACCAGUGGCGAAGGCGGCUCACUGGACGACUGUUGACGCUGAGGUGCGAAAGCGUGGGGAGCAAACAGGAUUAGAUACCCCUGUAGUCCCUGUCUCUUAUAC
rnacentral:rRNA from 1 species